rnacentral:tRNA from 1 species
GGAGAAGUGGCCGAGAGGUCUAAGGCGCUGCUACCCAAAAUGCAGUCUACUUUGUAGUCGUGGGUUCAAAUCCCUCCUUCUCCC